rnacentral:piRNA from 1 species
UAUAUUAUUUGUGGACUAUUGUGAAGGG